UUACUGAUUUUUAAAAGCAUCUCUAUUUGGUUCUCCUUGGAUUAUUCUACAGCUAUUACAUUGUGUACAUAAUGAACCAUCUUUAGAAAAUAAAAGUGACAUCAGCUCUAGGCUAUCGCCCCAUUCCAGCAGAGACUUACGUAGGAGGGACCUUCCCUCUACCUCCCCCAGUUAGUGACAGGAUGAGGAAAAGAAGAGCCUUUGCUGAUAAAGAAUUGGAGAACAUUAUGCUAGAGAGAGAAUAUAAAGAAAGGGAGAUGUUGGAAACUUCUCAAGCUGCUGCUCUGUUUCUGCCCAACCGCAUGGUGCCUGGACCUGACUACAACUCCUACAAAAGUGCCUACAGCCCCAGCCCAGUGGAACAACCGAGCAAGGACUUCUGUAAUUUUUUGCCCACCUGCCUUGAUUUAACCAUGCAGUAUUCAGGGUCUGGGAAUAUGGAACUAAUUUCUUCUAAUGUCAGCGUGGCCACGACUUACAGACAGUAUCCCUUGUCCUCGAGAUUUUUAGUUUGGCCCAAGUGUGGCCCCAUUAGCGACACCCUCCUCUACCAGCAAUGCCUGCUAAAUGCCACCACCUCAGUUCAAGCCCUGAAGCCUGGGGCCAGCUGGGACUUGAAGGGAGCAAGAGUCCAGGAUGGACUCAGUGCAGAGCACAACACGAUGCCAUCGAAAUUGGAAGGCUCCCUGGUGCUGCCUCAUACUCCUGAGAUCCAGACCAUAAGAAGUGACCUUCAGGGUCAUCAGGCUGUCCCAGAGAGGUCCGCAUUCUCCCCACCCCGACGGAAUUUCUCUCCCAUUGUUGACACGGACUCCCUGGCAGCUCAAGGGCAUGUCUUAACGAAGAUCAGCAAAGAAAACACCAGGCACCCUCUGCCACUUAGACAUAAUCCAUUCCACUCAUUAUUCCAGCAAACGCUUAAUGACAAAUCGGGUCCUGAGUUGAAAACACCAUUUGUCAAAGAGGCCUUUGAAGAGACCCCUAAGAAACACAGAGAGUGUUUAGUUAAGGAGAACCAGAAGUACACAUUUACAAUAGAUAGAUGCGCAAAAGACCUUUUUGUAGCCAAACAAGUUGGAACAAAACUCUCGGUGAAUGAACCACUGUCAUUUUCUGUUGAGUCUAUUCUUAAGAGGCCUUCAUCUGCCAUCACUCGUGUCUCUCAGUGAAAGACUGCUUAAACAGAAAGCUGGAUUUUCUGCAGUCUUAGAGCGUUAUUGCCAUUUGCUACUUUUUGAAAAAGUUAAGAUGUUUGUGUAAAGAAAUUUCUAAUGUAAAGAUGAUGAUUUUGAAAAAUUUUAUAUAUUCAUAAUAUGCAUGUACUUUUUCUUAUCACAUAUAUUUAAACUUACAGAUGGAAAUUGCCCAAUGUGCAAAUUGUUAAGUACCAUGCUUUACACAGCAUUUCAAAAAGCAAUAAAAUUGACACUGUCUUCCCAAAGACCCA
rnacentral:sRNA from 1 species